GGCUGGUCUGAAGGUAGUGAGUUACCUCAAUUGAUUGUUCACAGUUAUAGAUCAAACUUCUUGUUCUACUCUUUCCCCUCUUCUCACUACUGUACUUGACUAGUCUUUG
ensembl:misc_RNA Y_RNA Y RNA